rnacentral:lncRNA from 1 species
UAAAACUCCAGUAAAAACUCUGGACACUGAAGCUGGGUUUCCCAAGUUGGCAAUAACGUGUCUGUAUUGUUGCACAUUGAUGCUGGGAGGGUAAUGUGUCCUGAGGAUGACACAAGCUUUGCACUUGGAACCCUCCUAAACUCUACCCUAUAUAGUUUGUUUUAAUCUCUGUAACAAAUUAUGACUGUGUAUAUAAUAACUUUCAGUGAGUUCUGUGAAUCUUUCUAGUGAGUGAUCAAAACUGAGGUGGUGGGAAUCCCUGAACUUGCAUUUAGUGUCAGACAUGAGUGAAGUCUGAGAGACUGUGCCCUGAGACUUUGCAGUUUGACUAACUCUGGUAAUGACACCCUCAUAUUCCCCUCAUUUCUCAGAGUUUGAAACAUGACCAGAAUCACAACUUUACAUUGUUGUAGUUUGGGAGAGACAGGGCUGACCUUUUCUUUUGUUCUGAUUUAUUUUUCCACCCACUCAGUCUGUGCCAGCUUUAUUUCUUCAGCCCUUGCUCAACUUCUGGUUUCCCUCUUCACAAUGUCCACUACCUUGUACUCAACCUUGCUCAGCUCCACACUUCCUUUUUCCAGCAAACUACUGACUUCUUUGUGUGUGUGUGUGUGUGUGUGUGUGUAUACAUACAUGCACAUGCAUGUGUGUAUGGAGGAGUGGGUAUUGCAAAUUUUUCUCUUAUCUCUAGAAGAGUAGAUUCUGAUGUAAAGAUACAUUAACUUUUUCAGUGGAGCCUCCUCAUCUUAAAGUCUUCAAAAGAUACUGUUCUAUUAUUUGGGGAAUUGGGAACAGAGAUUUGAUGUAGGUAAUUCAGUAUUGUCAGUUAAACUAGAACUAAGUCUGUUAUUACCAAUAUUGACAGCUUUUUCAUAAACAUUUUGAAAUUGCCUCAUUUGAGAAAUCAAAAGCAAAGCUUAUAAAAGUUUUGACUUGUGAAAUUUCAGGUGCUCCUUUCUAUCAAUCCUGUGUCAUUCUGCUGUGGAGUAUGGCAUCAACUGACUUUUGAAGUUUUACAUUGAUUUGUCUUCUAGUUUUAUUUCAUUUUAAAAUAAGAUAGUUGAGUUAGUAUAAUUAGUUAAUUUUUAAUUCGUUGAUUUAUGAUAUAAAGGAGAGGAUUAUAUGUUGGAAAAAUUAAGAAAGAUAAUAUGACUUUGCACAUUUAAGCUUUCCUCACUGGGGUAUUUUUGGCUGUGAAUAGAAUUAUUAAGUGAAUCAAAUAAGUCAUAGACACUGUUAGAAUUACCAUAUUCAACUGUGUCUGGAAAGUCAUAGGUCUGCAGAGGAUUACAGGUAAAGUUUUGCUGGGAAACAGUAAUUUUAGAAGGUAUACAUAAAGAACAUUAAAUAAAAACCAGAAGUGCCAUUUUGGGAAGAGGGGU